rnacentral:rRNA from 1 species
CUGGGCGUAAAGCGUGCGUAGGUGGUUAUUUAAGUCCGUUGUGAAAGCCCUGGGCUCAACCUGGGAACUGCAGUGGAUACUGGAUGACUAGAAUGUGGUAGAGGGUAGCGGAAUUCCUGGUGUAGCAGUGAAAUGCGUAGAGAUCAGGAGGAACAUCCAUGGCGAAGGCAGCUACCUGGACCAACAUUGACACUGAGGCACGAAAGCGUGGGGAGCAAACAGGAUUAGAUGCCCUGGUAGUCCACGCCCUAAACGAUGCGAACUGGAUGUUGGGUGCAAUUUGGCACGCAGUAUCGAAGCUAACGCGUUAAGUUCGCCGCCUGGGGAGUACGGUCGCAAGACUGAAACUCAAAGGAAUUGACGGGGGCCCGCACAAGCGGUGGAGUAUGUGGUUUAAUUCGAUGCAACGCGAAGAACCUUACCUGGCCUUGACAUGUCGAGAACUUUCCAGAGAUGGAUUGGUGCCUUCGGGAACUCGAACACAGGUGCUGCAUGGCUGUCGUCAGCUCGUGUCGUGAGAUGUUGGGUUAAGUCCCGCAACGAGCGCAACCCUUGUCCUUAGUUGCCAGCACGUAAUGGUGGGAACUCUAAGGAGACCGCUGGUGACAAACCGGAGGAAGGUGGGGGAUGACGUCAAGUCAUCAUGGCCCUUACGGCCAGGGCUACACACGUACUACAAUGGUAGGGACAGAGGGCUGCAAGCCGGCGACGGUAAGCCAAUCCCAGAAACCCUAUCUCAGUCCGGAUUGGAGUCUGCAACUCGACUCCAUGAAGUCGGAAUCGC